CAGAUAGCAAAGUUUCUGGCACAAAUCUGGCUUACAUUGGGCAUUUAUGGCUAAAUUUAGGCUCUCUUUUGUUCACACCUUUGUGUGAAACAGCUUUCGGGGGAGUUGUGGGGUGAGGCUAGCCAGCCAAAAGCAAAAGGUACAUUUUUGGCUGAGUCCUGGCUUAAGUGUGGUCUGCCAGAAAAUAGUAAAUAUAUGGCAGAGUUCUGGCUAAGGUUUGGUUGGCCAAAGAGUAAAAAAAACACCAAAUAAAAUCAUUUACAAUUGAUAAAAACAUCAAAGUUAAUAUUUAAGGCAAUAAUAAAUAUGUUUAUCCUUAUUAAAAGACGAAAUGUAGAAAAUGUUAUUUUGGGCAGUUAAUCCAAAGGUGUCAAUGUGCAAUAUACAAACAAUGCAAUAAACAGAUAAAUUAAUAAUUCAGUCUGCACUAAUAUACAUCAAACAAAAGUAUUUUAAGUAUGUGUGCUUGUUUAAGUCUUUUUAGUUUUGUAUUUUAUUUUUUAUAAAUAAAUAAGACUUUACAUUAAAUUGUGUUUACAAUUAAAAAAUACGACUAACUAAUACUAAUAUUUAUUGGUGCACUUUCGUUUCUAAAACAAUGACAUAUAUUGCAAUGGAUCUUGGAAAUAGUAGUCCUUUAACCUCAACAGCGUUCAAUCCGCCGUGGAAAAUGAACUACCUUUCCCAUAAUGCAACUGGUCAUGAUCAGGAACUUCCGCGAAAUUCAAACCCCCACUGUGUACUGGACGAAGGACACGCGAUCUUUUGUCUUGUGGAGUUUUAUAUAACACAGUAAGGUAAGUUAUUAAGAUACUUUUCUUUUAAAUCCACGUAGAUUGCACUUAUUGUUCUACAGCGCGAUAUCCAGUUGGUUUUCGUUUUUGUUUGUUAUUCUUUUCUGUGAUGUAUUUUCGUGUAAGUGCAAGUAUUUUAUCAUCAGUCGCCAUUUAACGUAGAUAACGUUAAACAUGCAUGUUUUUACAGUAAGAGACGCAACAUGCAUGACGGGGAUGAUAAAAUAAUCAAUAAGAAGUUUGAAUCUUUAAAUGAAUGCUGAACCCCAAAGAAGCCAAACGAAGAUUAGAUGUUUUCUGUACUAAACCACAAAUCAGCAUUUGCUGGUAAUCAUAACAGUUACAAAGUGACUCAUUCAUUCCAACUAUUUAUAUCUUAGUAAAACAAUGUUUUUGAUAUUCUAGAAAGGCAUGUAUUCAAGUUUUAGCUUAAUAAAGAUGGUUUACUAUGAUCUCUUAUUCUCUUCAGUCCUGGUCAGUGCAGUUUACAAGACUGUGUUGUUAAAAGGCCAGAUUUAUUUGCUUUAUUUUAUGGUGUAACAUAACCAACCCCACUUGAAGAAUAACCACAUGCUUUUGUAAAGAAUUUAAUAUGCAAGCAUUUUGUAUGUGUUUGUUUUAAUCUUUUAUUUUACAGUAUAAAGUUUAAUUAUAUUUGCAUUUUGUUUGCAGAAGUCAUGUACCACACUUUGUCAACAAUAAAUGUUGUUUCUGCAAUCUGGAUAAAGAAUAAUAUAUUACUGCCUCUUGGAGAACAGCCGGCCGUACUCCAGACAGAGACAAAGACGUGAGGACAUCUAUUGCUUUUAAGUCAUGUACCACACUUUGUCAACAAUGCAUGUUGUUCCUGCAAUCUGGAUGAAGAAUAAUGUAUUACUGCCUCUUGGGAAAACAGCAGACUGUACUCCAGACAGAGACAAAGACAUGAGGACAUCCAUUGCUUUUAAGUCCUAUACCAGACUAUGUUGUUCCAGCUGUCUGGGUAAAGACUGAUACAUUACUGCCUCUUGGAGAACAGCAAACCAUUCUCAGACAGAGACAAAGACAUGGACAUCAAAACAGAAAAUUAAGUACUUGAUCUUGGAUUGUUUGGAGUGAACGCUGGAAAAUAAUGAAGCAGGAAAUUGACUAAAACAAUUUUUGUACUUGGCUGUAAGAAGUCCUUUGUGUGCACAGACAUGACUGGAGAUUAAAGUUACUAAAUGUUGCUUUUUUUCUAGCUGGUGACAUAACAUGGUAUUAUUUUCAAAUGUAUUUAUCUAAUACACAUUUGCACAUCUGUAAACAUUCAUUUUAUAUAGGAUGUUUUUUAUAUUUAACCAGUUGUUGUAUAUUGCUUUCUGUUAUUACAUCUGUUUUUUUUUUGCCUGUUUAUUGUUUAAAACAAUUAAGUUAAUGUUUCUCUGUUAGCUUUUAUGUUACUUUGGCUAUUUCUUUGCUUUUAUUUGAUCCUUCUACUGUUAUUUGUUUAUUUGGCAGAACAUUGACAUUUCAUUUAUUUUGCUGUUAUCUGAAAUAAAAUCAAUAAAACUCUAUAUUUGCUUUAUAUCUGUGUUUUUCAAUUACACAUUUUACGGGAUAUAAAUAUAUUUUGGUCACUUUAUGGCUAUUUUCUGGGGCAUCUGGAUAAGUUGUGGGUGGGUUCUGGGGUAAAUAUGGUAAUUUUGGUUAUUUUAUGGGUUACAUUUGGGGUUUCUGGAAAAGUUGUGGGUAAGUUUGGGGAUAAAUGUGGUAAUUUGGGCUGUUUUUUGGUUGUUAUCUGGAGAUUCCGGGAGAGCUGUGGCUGAUUUCUCGAGGUGUGAAAGGGUUGCGGCUAAGUUAUGGUCUGCUUUCGGCUAGAUUCUGGAUUACUUAAGGCAAGCAGCUCUGGGACCAAUCAAGGACCGUAAGCCGUGGCGGCAUGUGUGCCAAAAGAACAGCCUGAACUCAGCCAUUUCUGGCCCUGAAAAAUUUUGCUAUCUGGGUAUUAAUGUGG